CAGAGAACAUCUGGGGUGCUGAGAACAGGGCUGCUUCUCACUUGCAUCAGGGUGCGGCUCAGGUGGAUUCUUUACCACUGAGCCACCAGGAAAGCCCCUUGUUGACAAGAGAAGGGAGUGGGAAACCGAGGCCCUGGGAGCCAAGGUGCUUGAACACACAUCCUUGAUAGAGAACAGCGGAGUCCUGAGCAUCACGUGGACCAUCUGAGUGUGAAGGAAGCAGCGUGCCUUUGUCCCUUGAUUCCUAGACCAGCUGGAGCUGUUCAGCGCACCAUCCACGACUGCAGCUGCCAUCUGCUUUCCCCCCGAUGACCUGCGGAGAUAGCACCAGCAGUGCUGGGGGCUGGGAACACUGAGCAGCCUGGCCCAGUUCUUGGUGGCCGGGCCUGCUGAGCCCCUGCUUGUUGUGGGGGGGCAGUGGCUGCCCCCCUGCAGUGUCAGAGCUUGGUUUCUCC
ensembl:lncRNA